rnacentral:rRNA from 1 species
UACGUAGGGCGCAAGCGUUGUCCGGAAUUAUUGGGCGUAAAGAGCUCGUAGGUGGCUUGUUGCGUCUGCCGUGAAAGCCCGUGGCUUAACUACGGGUCUGCGGUGGAUACGGGCAGGCUAGAGGCUGGUAGGGGCAAGCGGAAUUCCUGGUGUAGCGGUGAAAUGCGCAGAUAUCAGGAGGAACACCGGUGGCGAAGGCGGCUUGCUGGGCAGUUGCUGACACUGAGGCGCGACAGCGUGGGGAGCAAACAGG